rnacentral:rRNA from 1 species
CAAUAGCGUAUAUUAAAGUUGUUGCGGUUAAAAAGCUCGUAGUUGGAUUUCUGCUGAGGACGACCGGUCCGCCCUCCGGGUGAGCAUCUGGUUCGGCCUUGGCAUCUUCUUGGUGAACGUAUCUGCACUUGACUGUGUGGUGCGGUACCCAGGACUUUUACUUGAGGAAAUUAGAGUGUUUCAGGCAGGCUUUCGCCGGAAUACAUUAGCAUGGAAUAAUGGAAAAGGACUUCAACCUCUUCUGUUGGUCUGAGAGGCUGUAGUAAUGAUAAUAGGGAUAGUUGGGGGCAUUAGUACUUAACUGUCAGAGGUGAAAUUCUCCGAUUUGUUAAAGACGGACUACUGCGAAAGCAUUUGCCAAGGAUGUUUUCAUUGAUCAAGAACGAAAGUUAGGGGAUCGAAGACGAUCAGAU